rnacentral:rRNA from 1 species
GCGACCCCAGGUCAAGCGGGGCUACCCGCUGAGUUUAAGC